CGCGGGGGCAGCACGUUGGGGUGCGCGCUACUUAAGGUCUUGCUGCGUGAGCCACUGACGUGUUUGGAGCUGGAGCCGGCUCGGGUGUUGGUGGAGUGGCGACCGGUGGUGAGUGGUCUCCGGGCUCCUCCCUCCCUCCCCGGCAGGCCCCAGACAACACUAGCCGAGGAGCCCGACCCUAGUUCGUGCCGUCAGAUCGUCCGCGGCGCGCCCCGCGGUCGCUGCUCGCGCUACGCGAUUCUUCGGGCCAGGGCAGCGGAAGGUGACCCCAUGCAGGUUUACGGUGUGGUGUUUCUGCUUCCGGAUUUAACACUCACACCAGACUGUGAGCAGCCUGGGGGCCUGGUCGUGUUUAGUAACGUGCCCUUCCCCCACUACGGAUCAAAGCUACGAGGAGAGUGAAAAUCAGGAACUUCUUUGGAAAAGGCAAUCCUGUAAAAUCCUGUCUUCCGAGGACAAAAGGCUUCUAGGUACAGUUGGACUGUGUACUGAGUUUCUGUCAAGAUGCUUCUGUUGGCUGGAUAUUUUCAAUGAAAGUCAUGAAAUAAAAUAAUUAUUUAGUGAUUACUGCA
rnacentral:lncRNA from 1 species